AUUGAACGCUGGCGGCAGGCCUAACACAUGCAAGUCGAGCGAGCGGCGGACGGGUGAGUAUUGUAUGUGGAUGUGCCCGAUAGAGGGGGAUAACUACUGGAAACUUUGGCUAAUACCGCAUACUAUCGGGUGAACCGAUAUGGGAUUAGCUAGUGGGUGGGGUAAAGGCUCACCUAGGCGACGUUCUCUAUCUGGUCUGAGAGGAUGAACAGCCGCACUGGGACUGAGACACUGCCCAGACUCUGACGGGAGGCAGAAGUGGGGAAGAUUGCACAAUGGGCGCAAGCCUGAUGCAGCCAUGCCGCGUGUAUGAAGAAGGCCUUAGGGUUGUAAAGUACUUUCAGCGGUGAGGCGUUACCCGCAGAAGAAGCACCGGCUAACUCCGUGCCAGCAGCCGCGGUAAUAC
rnacentral:rRNA from 1 species